GCGGUGGUGGUGUAGUGGUGAGCAUAGCUGCCUUUCAAGCAGUUGAUUUGGGUUCGAUUCCUGGCUAUCGCA